rnacentral:rRNA from 1 species
CCUACGGGAGGCAGCAGUGAGGAAUAUUGGUCAAUGGGCGCUAGCCUGAACCAGCCAAGUCGCGUGAAGGAUGACUGCCCUAUGGGUUGUAAACUUCUUUUAUGUGGGAGUAAAGUGCAGUAUGUAUACUGCUUUGCAUGUACCUUAUGAAUAAGGAUCGGCUAACUCCGUGCCAGCAGCCGCGUUAAUACGGAGGAUCCGAGCGUUAUCCGGAUGUAUUGGGUUUAAAGGGAGCGUAGGCGGGUUGUUAAGUCAGUUGGGAAAGUUUGCGGCUCAACCGUAAAAUUGCAGUUGAUACUGGCAUCCUUGAGUACAGGAGAGGUAGGCGGAAUUCGUGGUGUAGCGGUGAAAUGAUUAGAUAUCACGAAGAACUCCGAUGGCGAAGGCAGCCUGAUGGACUGUAACUGACGCUGAUGCUCGAAAGUGUGGGUAUCAAACAGGAGUAGAUACCCCAGUAGUC